AGUACUAAAAUGUUUUUAAAUUCAUGUAGAGCAGAAAUUUUGUUGCAGUUCUAAAUACGUUUGGUUUGGUUUGGUUGAUUGUUAAACGUUACAAACGUUAACCAACACUGACGGCUGCAGCAGAACACGGGCAGACGGCAACAACAACAUCAGCAACAGCAACAACAACGUCGCCGACGUCUGGCCUGCGUGUGCUUGUUCCUGUGUGUGUGUGCGUGUGAGAUUGGAAGACAAUGGCUGCAGCUGCGGAUCUGGUUGUUCCUACCCUUGCCAUUCGCUCUAGCGUGGCCGUUGAGCUAUGGUCGUCGGCCGGCGCCAAGCAGCCGUACGAGCACAAGUCCCACCUGCCCCGCGAGGAGACGAAGAGCUCCCGGUCGAUCUGUUUCAGCCCUGAUGGCCGGUACUUUGCAUACUCCAACGGACUAGAGGUAAAGGUUCUGGAGACACGUAAGGACCAAGCCAGCAGCUGGCCGGUGCAGUGCACACUGCCGCGACCCAAGGCCUUCUACCUCAAGUUUUCGCCGCGCGGCAGCUACCUGUGCACCUGGGAGCACUAUACUAUCACCAAGGACCGACCAGAAGGAUCCCCCAACCUGCUUGUCUAUGAGGUGGCAAGCGGCAACGAAGUGUUCUCAAUCGUUCAGAAGAACCAGACAGACUGGGAGCCUUCGUGGUCCUCCGACGAGUCCAUCUUCGCCAUGGUUGUCGGUGGCGAAGCCCUCUUCUACGAUCUGGGUGAGGGUACAAGCAAGGGAUUCACUUCUGCUUCGCGUAAGAUCGGCGGAAGCCGCGGAGGGAUGCUCUCAUUAGGCCCCGGAAACAGCCCACCGUUCUUGGCCUUUUACACGCCGGGAGCCAAAGGAGCCCCCUCCAUGUGCAAACUUUACAAGUAUCCGGCGCUGGGACAGAACCAGACCGUCGCCUGCAAGAGUUUCUUCCAGGCGGACCGCGUCGAAAUGUUGUGGAAUAAACGAGGAAGCGGGUUGCUCUUGCUAACCAGCACCGAGGUGGACAAGAGCGGCGCUUCCUACUAUGGCAACCAGGCUGUCCACUUCAUGGCAACCAAGGGUGAUACGUGCUCCGUGCCACUUUCCAAGGAGGGACCGGUGCAUUGCGUCAAGUGGAGUCCCAAAGCAAAUGAGUUUGUGGUCGUCUACGGGUUCAUGCCCUCCAAGGCAGCCCUCUACAAUCUCAAAUGCGAUGUGAUCUUUGACUUUGGCGAGGGACCGCGCAACUGCGCCUACUUCAACCCGUUCGGCAACCUCAUCGUGCUCGCCGGCUUCGGUAAUUUGCCAGGAGCCGUCGAGGUGUGGGAUGUGUCGAAGCGUGAGAAGCUGGCGAAUCUCAAGUGCGCUGACACCACAGUUUUUGAGUGGCAUCCAAACGGUGAAUGGUUUGUCACCGCCACUACAGCGCCCAGGCUCAGGAUUAGCAACGGCUUCAAGGUUUAUCAUUAUUCGGGAGCACUUCUCCACGAAACCAUGUGGCCGCAGGGUCAGGAGCUUCUGGGUAUCGAGUGGCAGCAGUUUCAGGACAAAACAUUCGCCGAGCCAAAGAUCACCAAGGCCAAGCAUGAGGGGAUCAAGUCGAGUCAACCGGAAGCCAGCAAGAAAGCCUACACGCCGCCCCAUCUCCGUUUGCUGAAGGAGGGAAAGAAUCCGGAUAAGUACCUGCCACAGCCAAGCAUCCCCGGACUCGCCCCGGCGACGGCAGGUGCUGGUGCAGGUAAUACGACGCGCAAGUUCUGGCACAGGCAGUACGACCUGGACAAUCCGAUCAUGCGACGGAGCGAGCAGGGCCAGUGCCAGCUGGUGGUGGCCGGGGGGCGAGAGGGUCAGAAUGCAAGUGGCGGCACCUCGACCAGCCGCCCCAACCGGCGCUAUCGGCCCUACCAGCAUAAGCGCUACUAGAUUCAGAUUCACGCUGCUAGUUAGCUAUUCAGCAACUCCUUCACUCCCACCUCACACAUUUUGUAUUAACAUGCCAUUAGGAUUAGGGAUUGACGCGGCCGUGGUGCUAACAGCAACAACAACAAGCGGAACCCCAAGAACAAGCCCAGGGGAGUCAGAAAGGAUGUCCACGCUGUGAAUGGCGGCGAUGCGG
rnacentral:misc_RNA from 1 species